rnacentral:rRNA from 1 species
GGUGAACGCUGGCGGCGUGCCUAACACAUGCAAGUCGAGCGGUGCAGUUUGAAGCUUCGGUGGAAAGCUGCAUAGCGGCGGACGGGUGAGGAAAACGUAGGAACGUGCCCCUUGGAGUUGGAUAGCCACGGGAAACUGUGGGUAAACCGACAUAGACUCGAGAGAGUAAAGGCCGAAAGGCGCCAAGGGAGCGGCCUGCGGCCCAUCAGGUAGUUGGUAGUGUAAAGGACUACCAAGCCGACGACGGGUAGCCGGUCUGAGAGGAUGGCCGGCCACAAGGGCACUGAGAGACGGGCCCUACUCCUACGGGAGGCAGCAGUCGAGAAUAGUCUACAAUGGUCGGAAGACUGAUAGUGCGACGCCGCGUGAACGAUGAAUCCCUUCGGGGUGUAAAGUUCUUUUAUAUGUGAGCAGUGCUUCUUAUAUUAACAGUAUGGGGAGAGAGAUAUUAGCAUAUGAAUAAGCAACGGCUAACUCCGUGCCAGCAGCCGCGGUAAUCUCGU